UUUUUUAGUUUUGUUUUUGGUUACAUUCUUUAACUUGGAGUUUAAAAUGAAGCCGCUCGACUAAUCCAGCGCUCGCGCGCCUUCGAAAUCGAGCCGAAUAGUGCACAGUGUUGGAGAGUGGAGGUCAGGCCUCUUUACCGAAGUAAAGAGCACCCUAAAAUUCACUAAUGAUCCUUCCGCAGGUUCACCUACGGAAA
rnacentral:misc_RNA from 1 species